CGGUCAUAUUCACGUUGAAAAUUGAUUCCCGUACGAUCACCAAAGUUAAGCAAAGUCGAGCCUGGUCAGUAUCAAGAUGGGUGACCGCUUCGAAAUACCAGGUGCCGUAA